CUGUGUGCUCCUUAUGAGAAUCUAAUGCCUGAUGAUCUGUCACUAUCUCCCAUCACCCCCAGAUGGGACCGUCUAGUUGCGGAAAACAAGUUCAUGGCUCCCACUGAUUCUACAUUAUGGUGAGAUGUAUAAUUAUUUCAUUAUAUAUUAUAAUGUAAUAAUAAUAGAAAUAAAGUGCACAGGCCGGGUGCGGUGGCUCAUGCCUGUAAUCCCAGCACUUUGGGAGGCCGAGGUGGUGGAUCACCUGAGGUCGGGAGUUCGAGACCAGCUUGACCAACAUGGAGAAACCCCAUCUCUACUAAAAAUACAAAAUUAGCCAGGCGUGGUGGCACAUGCCCGUAAUCCCAGCUACUUGGGAGGGUGGGGAGUACUGGUUUCCCUUGCCAUGUCUUUAGCUAGCAGCACAAAUCCAGGAAACCUCAUCUACCUGGCCAAGAAAACCAGGUUUGAUGCAGGAGCAGGACAGUUUGAUGUGUGUUGGGAGAAUGAGUAUAUAGGAAAAUAAUUUCUCGACUUCCUUCUCAAACACCUCCAAUGUGACAGCAAUAAGAAUAAAGUCA
rnacentral:lncRNA from 1 species